GAUGAAGAACGUAGCGAAAUGCGAUAAGUAAUGUGAAUUGCAGAAUUCAGUGAAUCAUCGAAUCUUUGAACGCACAUUGCGCCCGCCAGUAUUCUGGCGAGCAUGCCUGUUCGCGUCAUUUCAACCAUCAAGCCCCAGGCUUGUGUUGGAGCCCUGCGGCUGCCGCAGCCUCCCAAAACCAGUGGCGGGCUCGCUAUCACACCGAGUGCAGUAGUUUACUCUUCGCUCAGGGCGUGUGGCGGGUGCUAGCCGUGAAACCCCCAACUUCUCAAGGUUGACCUCGGAUCAGGUAGGAAUACCCGCUGAACUUAAGCAUAUCAAUAAGCGGAGGA
rnacentral:misc_RNA from 1 species